ensembl:lncRNA
UGUUUUAAAGAUAAUUCCCACGUGAACUGGGAAGUUUUGAAAACGCACCACUGGUUUCUAGUUAAAACAAGCUGGACGCGACAAACGUUUCUAAAUGUAGGCGACAAGUCUGCAAUACGGACAUUUCCUUCCUUCAGUGCUCAGCAGGCCGCAACCUCCAGUUCAGCUGCUUGAAGUCAUUGCAGAAGUUUAUUCUAAGCUGCAUUCUGUGCAUGACCCAGCAGAGGGCGACUCCUCUGCUCCCAUAGACGUCUAUGAGUAAAUGACUCUACUUCUCUGUAGUGACCAGCAGGGGGCGACUCCUCUGCUCCCAUAGACGUCUAUGAGGAAAUGACUCUACUUCUCUGUAGUGACCAGCAGGGGGCGACUCCUCUGCUCCCAUAGACGUCUAUGAGGAAACAACUCUACUUCUCUGUAGUGACCAGCAGGGGGCGACUCCUCUGCUCCCAUAGACGUCUAUGAGGAAAUGACUCUACUUCUCUGUAGUGACCAGCAGGGGGCGACUCCUCUGCUCCCAUAGACGUCUAUGAGGAAAUGACUCUACUUCUCUGUAGUGACCAGCAGGGGGCGACUGCUCUGCUCCCAUAGACGUCUAUGAGGAAAUGACUCUACUUCUCUGUAGUGACCAGCAAGGGGCGACUCCUCUGCUCCCAUAGACGUCUAUGAGGAAAUGACUCUACUUCUCUGUAGUGACCAGCAGGGGAGCGACUCCUCUGCUCCCAUAGACGUCUAUGAGGAAAUGACUCUACUUCUCUGUAGUGACCAGCAGGGGGCGACUCCUCUGCUCCCAUAGACGUCUAUGAGGAAAUGACUCUACUUCUCUCUUGAUUUAUUCCCUCAGUAAACGUUGUAAACAUGAGUUUAUGGUCUCAGUCUCUAGUUUCACGUCUUCUUCAAUGCAGCAUGAUGUUCAUUUAGUGAAUUAUGGUCCAUGUAGAGUCAAACAGACCAUAACGCAGUGGACACUUUAGGGCGGGGCAUCUGUGAUUGACAGGUCGCUGCCGCGUUCCGUAUACGGUCACAGGCACAAAAAAGGGUUUUGAAUUAAAGCAUCAACCGUUACUUUUGAGUCUCACGUGAGUCUUAUUUUCUCCUCCGUGAGUCUCGAGUCGGUGAGCAAAGGGUUCAAAGGUCGCUGCUGUUAAACCUGCACAUCUUAUCUGUAUCCUUGAGUACUUCAAUGUGUAGAAAAUAAUGUAUAUACAGUACGAGUCAAAAGGGAAAGAGUGUCCACUGGAAUGUAUGUAAAUAUGUGUGUGUGUGUGUAUAUAUAUCUAUAUAUAUAUAGAUAUAGAUAUAUAUAGAUAUAUAUAUAUAUAUAGAGAUAUAUAUAUAUAUAGAGAUAUAGAUAUAGAUAUAUAGAUAUGACCCUCCGCAUUAGGACAAAUACACACAGGCUGAUUUACCUGAAGGAAAACAAAGAUCCUGCAGCACUUUUUAUUUCAAAUGUCAUGUGGAGGAUUUAUUCAGGUUUGAGGAUGGAUGCGAGAGACACACAGGAAGCGAUACAUCAUAAAACAAAUAAAAAUAACGUCUGCUUCACGGCACGACUAAACAAGCGCGCAGGAAUGUGUCCGAGUGCCGGGAGGAGAGAUUCUCCUCUGAAAGAUCUACGAGGCCUCAGAAGAGAUUUAAAAGCGCCUGAGAACCAGACGGUCGGGACGUUUAUGUGAAGAAAAAACCGAACCAGCUACAGCGGCUUAAAGCCCACGUCGACAUGCCGCCCCCCCCACCCCAGUUUAGCACGUUAGCGUUAGCUAAUUUGCAGUGAAGUCCCGACGGUCCUGUUAAAGGAACAUUUCAUAUUUUCAUUCAUUCACAGCAUCUUCUAUCUCACCUUGUACAUUGUGCCAUUUCUAAGUUAAUGCAGCUAUUUGGUUCAUAAACCAAAUUAUUUGACUCAUUUGGU